CAUGAGUCUUCUGGAUCAAGCCAGACAGCCAGGAGACAGAGGAGAAGGAGAAACAGAACCUGGGACCAGCACCAAGGACCCUAGAGGCUCCUCUGCAGGCAGGAGGCCGAGCUUAGACCUGAGAGGUCCAUCAAGUCAAUCCUUGAGAAGGACUAUACUGCUUCAUUAGCCCAGAGAGGGGUUCCACUAGAUGACCCUGACAGGACAGCAUGG